ACUACUGACACGGACACAAGACAAUAUGUGAUGUAUUGAAAAUGAGUGAAAAGUUCCUUUACAAUAAGGCUGAAAUAACAGAUUAUUAAAUUCAUACAACGAGUAGAUACUGGAAGUGCACACUACCUGUGUGAUGCCGUAGUGGUACUUAGAAAGUGGUACUUAAGGAAAAACUCUUUAAAAAAUAAACCUAAAGUUGAAGUGCAUGUAUGCUAUUGAUGGAUGGUCCUUUUAGAACUUUUUAGCUAGCUAGCUGUAUGUAUUUUUCAUAGCACAUCAAUAUUAGCUAAGGGUAAGCUAAAUCUAACCAUAAGCAAGUAGUAAUAAAGUGAUUAUAACUGAUCUCCGUUGCGUUAGUACCGAUAAAAAACCCCAGCGCAGCUCACUUGACUAUCUCUCUCCUUCAUCCCAUUAUCACAGUAACCCACGUGCUGUUGGUUAGCUAAACGUGUGGUAACAGAACAUGCUGCAGUUAGCAUGUCUGGCCCCUGCUACCUUCUUCAAUAGUGUUAACUGUUUGUCUGAACUCCUGGAAAGAUUAAAUUUAUUCGGUGCUACUGCAACGUGGAAAUUUCCCCAUUGUGGGAGGAAUAAAGGCCUAUCUUAUCUUAUCUUAAUACUAAUAAGAUAAGAUAAUAUAAUAUAAUAUGCUAAUCUUAUAUGCGAAGAUAGUCAUUUAUCAUCAGUCUAAUUUGAUAAGAUAAGAAGAUAAGAAAAACCUUUAAUAGUCCCACAGUGAGGAAACAACUUCACACAACAGCAGUACAGAUUAGAGAUUACAGCAACAGAAUAACAGUUCGAAUGCUGAUGUGAAUGCUCAAACCACAAUAUUUUUCUAGGGAGCUUUCUGCAUUCUCUGUAGCAUUAGUGAGGCACUGCACAUGACAGCAGCAGUAGCAGAAAGACUCACUCACUCACUCUGAAAGACCUGAACACGCACGCACACACACACAGUAAUGAUAAUUCCAGGACUAAUAAAAGGGGAAGAAAGAGAAGAUAAGCUUUAUUC
rnacentral:lncRNA from 1 species